AAUCGAACCAUCUAGUAGCUGG
rnacentral:misc_RNA from 1 species